GACGAACGCUGGCGGCGUGCCUAAUACAUGCAAGUCGAGCGAAUGACGAGAAGCUUGCUUCUCUGAUUUAGCGGCGGACGGGUGAGUAACACGUGGGCAACCUGCCCUACAGAUCGGGAUAACUCAGGGAAACCUGGGCUAAUACCGGAUAAUCCUUCGAAUCACAUGUUUUGAAGUUGAAAGGCGCUUCGGCGUCACUGUAGGAUGGGCCCGCGGUGCAUUAGCUAGUUGGUGGGGUAACGGCCUACCAAGGCAACGAUGCAUAGCCGACCUGAGAGGGUGAUCGGCCACAUUGGGACUGAGACACGGCCCAAACUCCUACGGGAGGCUGCAGUAGGGAAUCUUCCACAAUGGACGAAAGUCUGAUGGAGCAACGCCGCGUGAGUGAUGAAGGUUUUCGGAUUGUAAAACUCUGUUGUAAGGGAAGAACAAGUACGUUAGGGAAUGAACGUACCUUGACGGUACCUUAUUAGAAAGCCACGGCUAACUACGUGCCAGCCGCCGCGGUAA
rnacentral:rRNA from 1 species